rfam:Clostridia bacterium BRH_c25 BRHa_1003816, whole genome shotgun sequence.
UGGAUAGUAUCGUUGGAACUAUACCGUUUUGGUGGUUUGGAAGCUAUUAAAACUGAAUAGAAAUCUGCUCUGAGCCUAUGGGACCGAGACAGAAGA